rnacentral:pre_miRNA from 1 species
AGUGAGUGUACAUCUAGUCCACGUAAUGUCUAAAACUGAUAACCGUGACUAGAUGCAUACUCAUCA